CCUGGGCUCUCCCUCGCCCUGUCCCUCUGUCUCACUGGGUGUCCUUGCCUGCCAUGCAGGGCUUGGACUGUGUGAUCUGGAUGGAGCCAGCCCCAUGGAUGGCUUCGAACUCGGGAGGCUCACCCAGCCCCGUGCUCCCAGAUGCUGCCUCUGCCUCUCCAGCCUCCUCCGGGCAGUUCAGCCCCAGGGCAGAGCCCAUGCCACUGCCAGCACCUUGGCCAGCAAAGCACCUCCCCCGGGCUGCUGAGAGGGCAUCUGCCAGCUCUGGGCGCGCCCACAUGACAAGCACAGAUGGCGCUAAUCAGCCUUCAGCUGCCUUCCAGCCAGGGCCUCCCCGAGCUGGUGGCAUGGCAGCCCCCAGACAUCUGCGUCCGUGGACCACAUGCCUCAGGACCAGGCAAUGAGCUCUUAGUUCAAAAAUGAGCAUUUGCAGAGCGAAUAAGGUAAGGAUCUUGGGAUAAGGUUAUCCCCGCCCUAAAUACGAGAACAGGUGUCCACGUGAGACACAGACACAGGAGGAGGCCACGUGAAGAGAGGCAGGGAUGGAGGGACGUGGCCACACACCACGGACGCCGGGGCCACUGACACUGGGAGGCGGGAAGGGUCCUCCCCUGGAGUCUGCAGAGGGAGCGGCGCCGCGCACACCUGGACUUUGGACUCCAGCCUCCAGAACUGCGGUGGCGGCGGCAGGGGUGGGGAGGGUUGUAAGUGGCUGUGGUUUCAAGACUCUGAGCUCCGGCAGCCACAGGGAACACGCGCCUCUGAUGUGCAUCAUCUACUGGCAGCUGGCGCCAGCCGUUAGAGGGAGGGCUCUCAGGAGGGAAGGGACCCUUGGGGCUGAGGGUUUCAGGAGUUGAGAGCCUCUCUGCCCUGCUCCCACCCGCCCCCAGCUGGGCCAGCAUCCCUCCGCCGCUGUGGUUACAAACAGCACCCGCCCUCUUCACGCUCUUCCCACAGCGAGGGGCGCAGGGACGGUGGCCUCGCGUUUCACAAGCAUCCUCCUGGGAUAUUGUCAGGAGUGGGCCGGCCCACAAGCGAUGUCCUGUGCCACGCACGGCAUGUGCUUCACCGACGCCCGGCUGUGCUUGCGGGAGUCUCUCACGUCAAGUCCACACGUCGCAGAAAGUUUCAGCAAAGCCUCGCGCUCAAUGGCUUGUGAUAAAACAUGAAGCUCAUUAUGACUGUGAGACGUGAGCUCGUCAGUGAAGGAGGCUCUUAAUUAUUUUUGAGGAG
rnacentral:lncRNA from 13 species